rnacentral:rRNA from 1 species
AUUGAACGCUGGCGGCAGGCCUAACACAUGCAAGUCGCGCGAGCGGCGGACGGGUGAGUAAUGUAUGUGGAUCUGCCCUCUAGAGGGUGAUAACUCCUGGCAACUGUUGCUAAUACCGCCUACUAUCGGUUGAACCCAUAUGGGAUUAGCUAGUAGGUGGGGUAAAGGCUCACCUAGGCGACGAUCUCUAGCUGGUCUGAGAGGAGGAUAAGCCACACUGUGACUGAGACACGGCCCAGACGCCUACGGGAGGCAGCAGUGGGGAAUAUUGCACAAUGGGCGCAAGCCUGAUGCAGCCAUGCCGCGUGUAUGAAGAAGGCGUUAGGGUUGUAAAGUACUUUCAGCGGGGAGGAGUGACCCGCAGAAGAAGCACCGGCUAAAUCCGUGCCAGCAGCGGCGGUAAUAC